rnacentral:rRNA from 1 species
UACGAAGGACCCGAGCGUUAUCCGGAUUUAUUGGGUUUAAAGGGUGCGUAGGCGUCCUGGAAAGUUACGGUUGAAAUCUCCUUGCUUAACAAGGAAACUGGCCGUAAAACUAUCAGGAUUGAGUACAUUUGAAGCGGGCGGAAUGUGUCAUGUAGCGGUGAAAUGCUUAGAUAUGACACAGAACACCAAUUGCGAAGGCAGCUCGCUAAACUGUAACUGACGCUGAGGCACGAAAGCGUGGGGAUCAAACAGGA